rnacentral:rRNA from 1 species
UGGGGAAUAUUGCACAAUGGGCGCAAGCCUGAUGCAGCCAUGCCGCGUGUAUGAAGAAGGCCUUCGGGUUGUAAAGUACUUUCAGUCGGGAGGAAGGUGGUAAGGUUAAUAACCUUGUCGAUUGACGUUACCCGCAGAAGAAGCACCGGCUAACUCCGUGCCAGCAGCCGCGGUAAUACGGAGGGUGCAAGCGUUAAUCGGAAUUACUGGGCGUAAAGCGCACGCAGGCGGUCUGUCAAGUCGGAUGUGAAAUCGCCGGGCUCAACCUGGGAACUGCAUUCGAAACUGGCAGGCUAGAGUCUUGUAGAGGGGGGUAGAAUUCCAGGUGUAGCGGUGAAAUGCGUAGAGAUCUGGAGGAAUACCGGUGGCGAAGGCGGCCCCCUGGACAAAGACUGACGCUCAGGUGCGAAAGCGUGGGGAGCAAACAGG